CGUCGUUACUCAUUACGUUGGAGAUAUUUCCUUUCUCAUUCGUUUUAUCGCAAUUUGGAAAGGGGAAUUGAUCCUGUAUAUAAAUUCAUAUUCUUUCGAAUGAAGGAUGGAGGGUGAUGGGAUGAGAUGGAGAUGAGGGAUGAGAAAAAUCCUUUUAACCAAUUCAAAGAACAUCCCAUCGAUUAUACGAUAAUCAUUGGCAUUGAAUGCGACUGUGAUCGGCUUUUGAGAGAAACAGAGACAGAGAUAUUAGAGAGAUAGAGAGAGAGAGAGAGCGAGAGGAUGACAAGGGAGAGAGAGGUUAGAGUUGAGGAUGAGAGGUUAUAGUAGUGGGGAGAAGUUAACAGAGUGGGGAGGGGAUUAAUUAGAAGACGUCGCGUACUUCUUGGAAUACUUUAUCGUUCGUUGUCGUCGUCGUCGCCGUCGUUGUCGUCGUCGUGGUAGCACUUGGAAUUUGAUUUUCAAGUUAACGUUUCUUUCUAAAGAACGACUCUGUGCUCUAUCUCUCUCAAUUUCUUUCAACAACGAAGACGACGAAGACGACGACGAGGACGAGAACGACGACGACUGAUGAAUUCUUAUUCAGAGAGAUAUAUACAUAUAUACCGACGGAACGGAAUGCAUAGUAACCAGUUUGGAAAGUAUCUUAAGGUACGACGUUUUAUGCAUAUGCGUACAACGUUACCGUGCUGGACAUGUCCAAGAAGCAAUCUUCCACGAGAUGUAACGUAGGGGGGAAACUAUGUUGUAACGGAUGCGUGAAGCCGGCAAGCGGAUGAAGGAGUAAACAGAGGAGGUGGAG